UACGUAGGUGGCAAGCGUUGUCCGGAUUUACUGGGCGUAAAGAGCGCGCAGGCGGUCGUUCAAGUCGCGUGUGAAAGCCCCGGCUCCAACUGGGGAGGGUCGACGCGAUACUGAUCGACUCGAAGGCAGGAGAGGGUAGUGGAAUUCCCGGUGUAGUGGUGAAAUGCGUAGGAUAAUCGGGAGGAACACCAGUGGCGAAGG
rnacentral:rRNA from 1 species